rnacentral:misc_RNA from 1 species
CACUCGCUUCACGCCGGCAACCAGACUGGGGUUCUCGGUCCGCGCCGCGCACUCAACAUGCGCAAAACGAAACGGCGCCAUCCAUUCGGGCUCCGAAUGGAAAGCGCUUGAACGCCACAGAGGACCACAAUCGAAACCGUGGUCAUGCAUCCGAGACUGAUCUUUGAAGGCGUGCGCAAAAGCGCGGUGGCCCGAGAGAUCAAUGUUGUCCUGGCAUUGCCUGGCUAGUNNNNNNNUCUGAGCGACAUUCGUCGAGGUUGGUGCCGAUCCAUCCGCAAAAGCGGGCUGAAAAGGUGAUCCGUUCCGACGCAGGGAAGCUCACCGCCUGUCGUGAAGUGGCCGGGUUUUAUAAGCCAUGCACACUCAAGUCAAGACUAAACGACAUGCGAAAAGAGCAAGCGCCAGAGCCACUUCUGACACACCGCAUGAAGCCGCGCAGUCGCCGAUUGUGACACGGCACGCG